rnacentral:lncRNA from 1 species
GACUGGGUUUGGGUAGCUGUCAUGUCACACAGCUGUUGUGUCUUUUAGCAAAUGAAUAGCACAUUUCUCUAAGGGAUUUGUACAGAUUGAAAAUAAAUUCUAUGUUAUUGAGAUUCACAGAACAUAGGCCAGGAAAAGGGACAAAAAUGUAUCUGCAACGACAUUUGAAUUGCUGUUUCAUCCCCCUUAUUGAAAUACAAGCCAAGAAUAAAACAUUGAUUAAAUAGAGAGCACUGACAUUUUACUCCUAUGGUGCUGGAUACCAGCCCAGACAAAGAGCCGGUUAAAUGCGAAAGACAAAGAGUCCUUUUGUGAGGUAAUAAGCUCAUCUGGGAGAAAUAUUAAGAGAAGUCUCAAAGGAUAGAGUCCACCAGCGUCUUUACCUCCAAUGCUCACCAAGAGACAGUGGGUCAAAUCAACUCAAAAUAUAUAGAUAGGGGAAAGAGGUAGAAGGAAUUCAUUACAAGGUGGAUGGGGAUUCAUGUAAGAUUCAUCUUUUUCUGUUUGGUGUGGGGCCACAUG